rnacentral:rRNA from 1 species
ACUCCUACGGGAGGCAGCAGUGGGGAAUAUUGCACAAUGGGCGCAAGCCUGAUGCAGCAACGCCGUGUGAGUGAAGAAGGUUUUCGGAUCGUAAAACUCUGUCCUAAGGGAAGAAACAAAUGACGGUACCUUAGGAGGAAGCCCCGGCUAACUACGUGCCAGCAGCCGCGGUAAUACGUAGGGGGCAAGCGUUAUCCGGAAUCACUGGGCGUAAAGGGUGCGUAGGCGGCUUAGCAAGCCAGGGGUGAAAGGCAUUGGCUCAACCAAUGUAAGCCUUUGGAACUGUUAAGCUUGAGUGCAGGAGAGGUAAGUGGAAUUCCUAGUGUAGAGGUGAAAUUCGUAGAUAUUAGGAGGAACACCAGUGGCGAAGGCGACUUACUGGACUGUAACUGACGCUGAUGCACGAAAGCGUGGGUAGCGAACAGGAUUAGAUACCCUGGUAGC